UAUGAAGAACGCAGCGAAAUGCGAUAAGUAGUGUGAAUUGCAGAAUUCAGUGAAUCAUCGAAUCUUUGAACGUACAUUGCGCCCCUUGGUAUUCCAUGGGGCAUGCCUGUUCGAGCGUCAUUUGUACCUUCAAGCUUUGCUUGGUGUUGGGUGUUUGUCCUGAGGGACUCGCCUUAAAGUAAUUGGCAGCCAGUGUUUGGUUUUGAAGCGCAGCACAAGUCGCGAUUCAAAGCUAUACGCCCGCUUCCACAAGCCUUUUUCACUUUUGACCUCGGAUCAGGUAGGGAUACCCGCUGAACUUAAGCAUAUCAAUAAGCGGAGGA
rnacentral:misc_RNA from 1 species